CGCGUGUAAAGCUCUCUCUAACGACGCUGUAUGCUAAAACGGAAGCAAAGCUAAAACUACGUGCAACUAGACUGUGUUAAGAACAAGGAAGUUUUUAUUUUGACAGGAAAACAGGAAGUGGCUCGCAGCUCGUUAAUGAACUAAUUAACUUUAACAUUCACGGACUUUCCUGCAACCUGGCGAUGCACGCUUUAUUAAAACCACAAUUAAAUCAUGUAUGUUCAGUUAUAAAUCAAGUUAAUAAAGUGUGUCAAAACUUUCAGAUGCACAAAGGAAGCGGACGGAACCUGGUGAUGAGGUGGCUGUAAAUGAAGACGGAGACUGUUAGCUGUUGAAGAAGCUCUUUAUGUGUGUUUUUCCUCAAUUCCUGCGGAUUUGUUUGUUAAUUGCAGACUUGUGCUGGUGCUCAUGGUCUCCUGCUCUGGACGUCUCAGCUGCUGAUGCUGCGGUUCCUGCUCCUCUUAUUCCCUGUAGUGGGCCACCAGGAUCACUUUAGGAGUGUGGCCAUUUUCAGAAGGAGGGUGUGAAGAGUUGCAGCUUUGGUUCGAUGGAGAAGCGGGAUCUGCAGCAUGGCGUGAGGAUCUGUGGCCGGAGCUGGGUGUGGGCAGAGCUGAAGGUGGAGCCUGAGGCGACACGUGAUGUUUCUUCUCCUGAUGGAAGAAUUCCAAACCGACACUUCAUCAUUAGCUUCACUUCAGAUACAACCUCCUGCUCUCGCCCCUGAACCACAGCGUCGGUGUUUGUGAAGCAGAGGAAAGAUUGUCACUGCUGCCACUACAGGAUAUGAGAAGUUCCUCCAGUGUCAACAUCAGAUGUUCUGGCCCUCAGCAUUGUCUCUGCCUCUGCAACUGUUGACUGAGGAUGAAGAGAUGGAGAGGAUGAAGAGAUGUUUAAAAACCAGCUUCUGUCACCCUCCGGCCCUGAUUACAAGCAUCUAACUGGUCCUGACUGCUUUCCUCUCACCUCAGCCCUGGUGCACUCUGGGUAAUCUCAGCGGGACCGACCAUGUCUCAUUAGUGAAUUCUCACACAGCUCUACUUCCACCUGAGCUCUGACAGGCUGAAGGCCACUUCCUGUCACUGGGUGGAAAAGCAUCAUCAUUUACCACCGCACACUUGUUAAAGACCCCAGUUCUGCUACGUGACCAAACUGUUAGUGGAGGAAAUGUCCUGGAACGUAAAGCACUUUUUCACCAUCAGUGAACAUCCGUGUGCCUGGAUGUGAGUGACAGGAACUGUUGAAAGGAGCUCCGUACGUGUCCAUGAUGACGGUGCUGGCCUGCUCCAGGUUCCACUGACAGUCCUGCAGGAGCCCCUCACACUCUGAUCUGGACCUGAGGCCCAAACGGAACAACUGCUCCACCUGUGACCCAGACAGACACACACAAGUCCCACCUCUCCAAAAACGCUGGUCGCUCUGGCAGAGGGACGGGAGCAGAACUCUGAGAGCUGUCAAUCAACGACGUCCCUCCACGACUCUCACGGAAGGAGAACGGAUCCAGGAGGGAGGAGCCGGGAACCGAG